rnacentral:rRNA from 1 species
UUUCUUCGGGGGGGACAGCAGUGGGGAAUUUUGGACAAUGGGCGAAAGCCUGAUCCAGCAAUGCCGCGUGCAGGAUGAAGGCCCUCGGGUUGUAAACUGCUUUUGUACGGAACGAAAAGCCUGGGGCUAAUAUCCCCGGGUCAUGACGGUACCGUAAGAAUAAGCACCGGCUAACUACGUGCCAGCAGCCGCGGUAAUACGUAGGGUGCAAGCGUUAAUCGGAAUUACUGGGCGUAAAGCGUGCGCAGGCGGUUUUGUAAGACAGUGGUGAAAUCCCCGGGCUCAACCUGGGAACUGCCAUUGUGACUGCAAGGCUAGAGUGCGGCAGAGGGGGAUGGAAUUCCGCGUGUAGCAGUGAAAUGCGUAGAUAUGCGGAGGAACACCGAUGGCGAAGGCAAUCCCCUGGGCCUGCACUGACGCUCAUGCACGAAAGCGUGGGGAGCAAACAGGAUUAGAUACCCUGGUAGUCCACGCCCUAAACGAUGUCAACUGGUUGUUGGGUCUUAACUGACUCAGUAACGAAGCUAACGCGUGAAGUGACGCCUGGAGACGCCCCAG